rnacentral:rRNA from 1 species
UACGUAGGGGGCAAGCGUUGUCCGGAUUUAUUGGGCGUAAAGAGCGUGUAGGCGGCCGCACAGGUCCGUUGUGAAAACUGGAGGCUUAACCUUCAGACGUCGAUGGAAACCGUGCGGCUAGAGUCCGGAAGAGGAGAAUGGAAUUCCUGGUGUAGCGGUGAAAUGCGCAGAUAUCAGGAGGAAUACCGGUGGCGAAGGCGGCAUCCUGGACCGACAUUGACGCUGAGGAGCGAAAGCGUGGGGAGCGAACGGG